GUCUACGGCCAUACCACCCUGAACGUGCCCGAUCUCGUCUGAUCUCGGAAGCUAAGCAGGGUCGGGCCUGGUUAGUACUUGGAUGGGAGAAUCUGAGUCAGUUGUCACAGAGGAAAGAACAGAUUAGCGAGACA
rnacentral:rRNA from 1 species